rnacentral:rRNA from 1 species
GAUGAACGCUGGCGGCGUGCCUAAUACAUGCAAGUCGAGCGAACGGACGAGAAGCUUGCUUCUCUGAUGUUAGCGGCGGACGGGUGAGUAACACGUGGAUAACCUACCUAUAAGACUGGGAUAACUUCGGGAAACCGGAGCUAAUACCGGAUAAUCUUUUGAACCGCAUGGUUCAAAAGUGAAAGACGGUCAUGCUGUCACUUAUCGAUGGAUCCGCGCUGCAUUAGCUAGUUGGUAAGGUAACGGCUUACCAAGGCAACGAUGCAUAGCCGACCUGAGGGGGUGAUCGGCCACACGGGAACUGAGACACGGUCCAGGCUCCUACGGGAGGCAGCAGUAGGGAAUCUGCCGCAAUGGGCGAAAGCCUGACGGAGCAACGCCGCGUGAGUGAUGAAGGUCUUCGGAUCGUAAAACUCUGUUAUUAGGGAAGAACAUAUGUGGAAGUAACUGUGCACAGCGUGACGGUACCUAAUCAGAAAGCCACGGCUAACUACGUG